rnacentral:rRNA from 1 species
AUUGAACGCUGGCGGCAGGCCUAACACAUGCAAGUCGAGCGGAUGAGUGGAGCUUGCUCCAUGAUUCAGCGGCGGACGGGUGAGUAAUGCCUAGGAAUCUGCCUGGUAGUGGGGGACAACGUUUCGAAAGGAACGCUAAUACCGCAUACGUCCUACGGGAGAAAGUGGGGGAUCUUCGGACCUCACGCUAUCAGAUGAGCCUAGGUCGGAUUAGCUAGUUGGUGAGGUAAAGGCUCACCAAGGCGACGAUCCGUAACUGGUCUGAGAGGAUGAUCAGUCAAACUGGAAAUGAGACACGGUCCAGACUCCUACGGGAGGCAGCAGUGGGGAAUAGUGGACAAUGGGCGAAAGCCUGAUCCAGCCAUGCCGCGUGUGUGAAGAAGGUCUUCGGAUUGUAAAGCACUUUAAGUUGGGAGGAAGGGCAGUAAGUUAAUACCUUGCUGUUUUGACGUUACCAACAGAAUAAGCACCGGCUAACUUCGUGCCAGCCGCCGCCGUAAUAC